rnacentral:ncRNA from 1 species
GAUGGAUCAUUAAAUCAGUUAUAGUUUCUUUGAUGGUACCCUACUACUUGAAUAAUUGUAGUAAUGAGUACAAUCUAAAUCCCUUAACGAGGAUCCAUUGGAGGGAAAUUUUGGUGCUAGCAGUUGCGGUAAUUCCAACUCCAAUAUUGUAUAUUUAAGUUGUUGCAGUUAAAAAUAUCGUAGUUGGAUCUUGGGUCGUAAAGGUCGGUCCACCUACUUGGUGUGCACCUGCCCUUACAUCCUGUUGACAGGCGAAAUCGACCGUCCGUCAACUGAGAGAGUGGAACCGGUCCGGGGUUGUCUAAUAACCCAAGCCAUUUGGGAUGAACCACCCUGACGGGUUUAGCGGUUCC